CUAAUCUCUUAGCACCC
rnacentral:misc_RNA from 1 species